CUUAAAUACUUGUGAAAGGCAUCUGAAAGCGGCGCAAGAAAAGCUCCAGGUUUCAAGGGGUUAACGGUUACACGUCUUUUGGUGCAAGAUUUCCCAGGAUGACUGAAUGAGGAGAAAAAGGAAAGUACUCUUCUUCAUUAGUUCAAAGGUUUGCACGCUCCCCAUGGUUAGUUGUCGAUUUGAGAGGUGUAGAAAUGCUAGUUUUCCUCCACACAACCCUCUUUAUUGAAUUAUUGCCUGGUGAAUACCCAUGAUUCAGCGCUUUAAAUGAACAAAGCAGCAGCAGCAUCUUAAAGGAAAAAUCCCUCCUUGGAUGCUCGUCCACUGUCACAUAUCAUCCAUCUGUUAUGGCUGAUAUAACAUCCAUCUGUUGUGUUCAAUCCAUUCAUUUUAUGCCACCCAUCAUCUGAUACUUCUGAUCAAUCCCCAGGCUGCCUUUUAACAACCCACACAGAACGGGUUUGACCUUGCUGCAGCUGUGUAGGUGGAGGAUGUAAUGACAAGCUGCCUGGUCCCCUCUCAGGGACCGCCUCCUAAGAAGACGUGCGUCUUUCAGAGGACUGAAUGUUAGCAGGCUGUACCUGCACCCCCGCCUGAACUGAGAUGACAGAAGAUUCAUCAAAGACUCAGUGGGAGGUCUUCCCCUAAAUGACUGUAUGCGUCUCCUCUCUCCUGCUGCUGUGGGAUUUUUUUCACCUACUCCACCCUCACCUCUCUCCACCUAGCCACUCCUCUUCAUCGGCCUCAUCACCUCCACCUGCUGCUCCCAGCUGCUCCUCAUCUCCAAUCAAGCCAGUAUCUCAGCAGCAGCCUCACUCCACUCACUCUUUUCCAGAUUCUCUUUGCUUCCAUGCCUGACCUUCCAGCACUCACUCUCGGACUGUUUUCCUGGUUUCGACUCAGUUCGCUUGUGACCACCUCUCCUCGUCUCUGCCUUCUUUAAACCUAACAGCCUUCUGUCUCCGACCACCAGUUGUGUCAGUACCUCUGGUAUUUAUUGUUCUGAUGGUAGGUCAGUUUCCCCGCCUGUCCUUGUGGAUCCCGCUGCCUGCUCCUACAGGAUUCGUCUGCUCUGCUGCCUGCCGCCAACUCUGCCUCCUCCUCGACCACGAGCCCUGCCUGCCUCUCUCUCGAGUCCCCACUUUUCCCACUAACUCCCUGCUAUUAAUCUCCUGCUCUGUCCAUGGAUGUGGCGCCUGCCAGCGUGACGGACAGCCCUGCUUCUAAUCAAUUUAAUUCCAAAGCACACUCUGAAACAUCUGAGGGAUGCGGUUUCUAUCACAAUGUCAUUUUAAAUCAUCGGCCGGUUAUUCUGUGAUACUAAGGAAAUCUGCAGCGUCUGUCCUGCCUAAAGUCACACAGUAAUAACUUGAAAUCUGUCUCCUUCACGUAAUUUGUGUAACAAAUCAGUCGGUUUGCGUUGUGAAAUAGCUCGAUUUUUCUGCUGCACGUUCAGUUGCUCCUCUUCAUUUCUCCCUCUGCACACAAACAUACUCGAUUUGUUAUGGUGAUUGUGCAAUGGGACUGCAGGUGUACAAACUCCUAUCAUAAAAGGUGGACGGGGACCCAAAAUAUCGCUCCUGCAAUAACCAGAGUGCUUACAUGAUUUCAUGGGCCUGUCCCAUGGAACAUGGGGCUGUAUUUCUCAUUUCAGUGGCAGACUGGGACAUUUUAAGAGCCCCCUCUCCAUCUGUCAGUGUCUCUGUUUCAGGUCAUUUGUAUAAAAUGGAUAUUAGGUUACUGAUGGUCCGUGUCUGUUUGAAGCCCAUCUUUUCCUAUGAUUCGCCUAAAAAUAGG